rnacentral:tRNA from 1 species
AGCGGUAUAGUGAAGUGGUUAACACGGGAGGUUUAAGUCUUGUACAAAUUUCUCCUGCCGAAAGGCGUCGUGGGUUCGAACCCCACUGCCGCUA